rnacentral:lncRNA from 13 species
AUGGUUCGGUGUGCUGGGGCUGUCAGCAGCAAAGCCAUGUUGCCAACCCGUGGUCUUAAGGGCAGGGAGGAGGAGCUCCGAGGAAAGACACAGCAGACUCAUAGCCAGAAGACCCAAGAGGCAGUUCAUUCCAGUAGCAGCAGUUGGAUCCAGUGUGUGGUUUUCCCAGCACGCACAGAACUAGCUUCAUUGUGCCAUCUUGGAGACACCAGCAGCAGCUGGCCGGCAUCCCCUCCUCCGGGAGUCUCAGCCCCGUGGGAGCCCUCCUCCAAGCUUGGGGACAGCAGCAGCUGCUGAACGGCAGCCUCCUUCUCAGAUGUCUGCUCUGUGGGAGCCCUCACAAGUUUUAAUAUGUCAACCUCUUCUCUUUGUUUCCCCAACCCCAAGAAAAAUAGGUUCUUUCUGCUGUGGCAUUGCUGUGAUUACUUGGUGUUCUCUUUUUGGGUACAAAAUGAAAGAUUCCUGUGUCUCUGAAUCAUGAUAGAGAGGAAAGCUACCCACCAACCCGGGACACAUUCACCAAACUGUUAUGUGACCAAGAAAGACAUUUUCAUUGUGUAAAGUCACCAAAAUAUGAAUCCUACCUUUUACAACAAUGAACUGCACCUCUUAUGCCUGAAGAGCAUUUUAAAACUUGUUUCUAGACUCCAUCCAAAACCAGAGUCUUCCAGCACUGUCUGGUAAUCUAUCAUUUUAAGAUGUGAUUCUUCCUGGUCUGGAAACCACAGCCUAAAUUGCCUCGAGCAUAUACUUAUUAACAUUCACCAGGUAGCAACUACCCAAAGCACAGUCGUGGUACUUAGAAGGAAUUCAUCCAUAGCUCAAGAAUUAACCUGUACUUUUUAACUGUUCUUUUUAGUAAAUGUCACAAAAAGACUCAGUUCAGAGAAGAUCAGCAUGAAGUGAGUUGUGGAAGUUUUGCUAUUCCCGAAAGAAAAGGGCUUUCAGAUAUCCUGAUUGUCUGCCAGCAUUUACUGCCUCUGAAAAAUCAGUGUCUUUGCCAGACACUGGGCAGAUUUACAGGAUGAGAGACAAUUUCUGGGGCUCCUUCCUAUUCUGUUAAAAAGCUCUGACCCAGAGAACUUCAGGACCUUUUGGCACAAGAUGGUCUGAUACAGAUUUUCCUGCUGUCUCAGAUUCACACACUUGCUUUGGUUCCUAUGGUUGUUUUCAGGUGACAGCAGUAAUUAAGGCAUGCACUUGAUGACAGGCAUCUUCUCCCAGGGGUCACCCCACAGGGUUUGAUUCCCAGGCCAACUGGAAAGAUUUCUGAAAGCAAGCGACAGCUUGGAAGAGG